GAAAAAAAUAAGAAAAAUCAGGGUAAGGCAAUCACCCAGUGUUCAGGUUCAACUUUAAACCGUGGUACAAAUGAAACAGAUAGCUCCAUCUCAUCAGGGCAGCCCCUGCUCCAGAGCCUGGACUCACAGGGAUACAAAGCAAAAACAUCUCCAGCUUCCAAUUCCAACCCCGCCGCCCCAAACAUUCACGUUUGCUAAAACAGAAACGUGCGUUUCUAAACUCUUGCCUUAUUUUUAUGUUAAAAAAUAUUGUUUUUGAAGUCCCACCUGCGGUGGCCGGGCGGUUGCUAGGUGACGGUGCCGCAUGGACCGUCGCCGGUGAUGAAUGGCCCGGCUGGCGGCGGUCCCUGCUCUGCCACUGCCACUCGUGCCCUCCGACGGCGCUGCCACCGACCAGCACAGAGGCUGCAAAGGCCACGGACGGGUUUUGGCAGCGUGAGAGUUGGCCUGCCCUGCACCAGCCCAGCCAGGGGGAUGUCAGUGCGUCACCAGCGGCUUCACCACUCUGUUGGCUCUGGCAGCGCUGCCAAGGCCAACGGGGGCGUGAAACUGCCCCAAGGGGUCAUAGGAGCCUGUCUGAAAAGUAAUGGCAGCAGUGUUGGGGUUCAGGAGAACCCACAACAAGCAUGGAUGCUCAAAGCUGAUGCUCCACAGCCUGCUGUGGCCACCAUCAGACCCUGGCCAGCACUGUCACCAAGCUUGUCCAUAUCUGAGAUGCUCACAAAACAGGUGGUAUCUGUUUCAAGCAGCAACCUUUUCACUUCGUGCAUGAAGACUUGUAAACUUCCCGUGGCUACACCAGCGGUUCCUAACCAGGUGCCGGCGCCGGAGCCGCAGUCUCUGAAGAGCAGGAAACUCCAUAUGCUGAUCUCCGGCUAUGUAGAUGCCAUUCGUUUCUCCUUGAAAGUUUAUUGUCAGAAUUACUGAAAUGUACACAAAUGUCUGUAUUUGAAGGUGAAAUUUGGUGGAAAAAUAAAGAUAUAAUAGGAUCCUUUCUUAUAUAAUUU
rnacentral:lncRNA from 1 species